GACGAACGCUGGCGGCGUGCCUAAUACAUGCAAGUAGAACGCUGAAGAGAGGAGCUUGCUCUUCUUGGAUGAGUUGCGAACGGGUGAGUAACGCGUAGGUAACCUGCCUUGUAGCGGGGGAUAACUAUUGGAAACGAUAGCUAAUACCGCAUAACAAUAGGUGACACAUGUCAUUUAUUUGAAAGGGGCAAUUGCUCCACUACAAGAUGGACCUGCGUUGUAUUAGCUAGUAGGUGAGGUAACGGCUCACCUAGGCGACGAUACAUAGCCGACCUGAGAGGGUGAUCGGCCACACUGGGACUGAGACACGGCCCAGACUCCUACGGGAGGCAGCAGUAGGGAAUCUUCGGCAAUGGGGGCAACCCUGACCGAGCAACGCCGCGUGAGUGAAGAAGGUUUUCGGAUCGUAAAGCUCUGUUGUAAGUCAAGAACGAGUGUGAGAGUGGAAAGUUCACACUGUGACGGUAGCUUACCAGAAAGGGACGGCUAACUACGUGCCAGCAGCCGCGGUAAUACGUAGGUCCCGAGCGUUGUCCGGAUUUAUUGGGCGUAAAGCGAGCGCAGGCGGUUUGAUAAGUCUGAGGUUAAAGGCUGUGGCUCAACCAUAGUUCGCUUUGGAAACUGUCAAACUUGAGUGCAGAAGGGGAGAGUGGAAUUCCAUGUGUAGCGGUGAAAUGCGUAGAUAUAUGGAGGAACACCGGUGGCGAAAGCGGCUCUCUGGUCUGUAACUGACGCUGAGGCUCGAAAGCGUGGGGAGCGAACAGG
rnacentral:rRNA from 1 species